GGUAAAACGAGGUACAGUUCUGUAUAUGUGUGGCAUUUCUAUCAGUAAAGAAGUUCUGAGUAAAGACGUUAACGUUGAAUACCGCUUCUCUGCCGAUCCUUAUCUUAGUGCCUCAAGCAGUAACGACUCUAGUUUGUCUAUGUAACGCCUACGGGCGGUUUAAACAAUCCAAAGGAAAUACUCAAGAUGGCAAAGAUCAAAGGUCAAGUUAAGUGGUUCAACGAGUCUAAAGGUUUCGGUUUCAUCACCCCGGCUGACGGCAGCAAAGACGUGUUCGUACACUUCUCUGCAAUCCAGGGUAACGGCUUCAAAACCCUGGCUGAAGGCCAGAACGUUGAGUUCGAAAUCCAGGAUGGCCAGAAAGGUCCAUCAGCAGUAAACGUUACUGCUAUCUAAUCAGCGUCAGCUGUAAAAAAAGCCCGCCAGCGUGCGGGCUUUUUCGU
rfam:Serratia marcescens FGI94, complete genome.